rnacentral:rRNA from 1 species
GAUAAACGCUGGCGGCGCACAUAAGACAUGCAAGUCGAACGGAAGUCGUCAAAAAACUGAUUGAAAGAUUUAUCUUGAUUGAAGUUUUGCGACAUAUGGCUUUAGUGGCGGACUGGUGAGUAACACAUAAGCAAUCUGCCUAUCAGCGUGGAAUAACACUGAGAAAUCAGUGCUAAUACCGCAUAUGCUAACAAUAUCGCAUGAUAUAGUUAGGAAAGGAGUAAUCCACUAAUAGAUGAGCUUAUGGCUGAUUAGCUAGUUGGUAAGGUAACGGCUUACCAAGGCUGCGAUCAGUACCCGGACUGAGAGGUUGACCGGGCACAUUGGGACUGAGAUACGGCCCAGACUCCUACGGGAGGCAGCAGUCGGGAAUAUUGCGCAAUGGAGGAAACUCUGACGCAGUGACGCCGCGUAUAGGAAGAAGGUUUUCGGAUUGUAAACUAUUUUAGUCAGGGAAGAAUUAAGACUGUACCUGAAGAAUAAGCCCCUGCAAACUACGUGCCAGCAGCCGCGGUAAUACGUAGGGGGCAAGCGUUAUCCGGAAUUAUUGGGUGUAAAGGGUGCGUAGACGGGUUGGUAAGUUAGUUGUGAAAUCCCAAGGCUUAACUUUGGAAUUGCAACUAAAACUACCAGUCUUGAGUAUCGGAGAGGAAAGUGGAAUUCCUAGUGUAGCGGUGAAAUGCAUAGAUAUUAGGAGGAACACCAGUGGCGAAGGCGACUUUCUGGACGAAAACUGACGUUGAAGCACGAAAGUGUGGGGAGCAAACAGGAUUAGAUACCCUGGUAGUCCACACUGUAAACGAUGGAUACUAGGUGUAGGAUGUGUUAAAACGUUCCGUGCCGUCGUAAACGCAGUAAGUAUCCCACCUGAGGAGUACGGCCGCAAGGUUGAAACUCAAAGGAAUUGACGGGGAGCCGCACAAGCAGUGGAGUAUGUGGUUUAAUUCGAAGCAACGCGAAGAACCUUACCAGGGCUUGACAUGCAAGUGAAUAAUUCAGAGAUGAAUUAGCCCUUCGGGGCACUUGUGCAGGUGGUGCAUGGUUGUCGUCAGCUCGUGUCGUGAGAUGUUGGGUUAAGUCCCGCAACGAGCGCAACCCCUAUAUUUAGUUGCUAACAUUUAGUUGAGAACUCUAAAUAGACUGCCGCAAAUAAUGCGGAGGAAGGUGGGGACGACGUCAAAUCAUCAUGCCCUUUAUGUCCUGGGCAACACACGUACUACAAUGGCUACUACAGAAAGAAACAAAUCCGCGAGGAUGAGUAAACCUCUAAAAGUAGUCUCAGUUCGGAUUGAAGGCUGAAAUUCGCCUUCAUGAAGUCGGAAUUGCUAGUAAUUGCAGGUCAGCAUACUGCAGUGAAUACGUUCCCGGCUCU